rnacentral:rRNA from 1 species
UACGUAGGGUCCGAGCGUUGUCCGGAGUUACUGGGCGUAAAGCGCGCGCAGGUGGUCCACUAAGCCCGGCGUGAAAGCCCCCGGCUCAACCGGGGAGAGUCGUCGGGGACUGGUGGACUUGAGGGCGGCAGGGGCUGGUGGAAUUCCAGGUGUAGCGGUGAAAUGCGUAGAUAUCUGGAGGAACAUCGGUGGCGAAGGCGGCAUCCUGGACCGGUAUUGACGCUGAGGCGCGAAAGCCAGGGGAGCAAACGGG